GCCCGUGACUAGAAUCACUUGGGACGCGCCCGAUUUCAUCAGAUCUCGGAAGCUAAGCAGGUUGGGGCUGGUAAGUCACCUCUGGAUGGGGGACUGGCUGAGGGUACCUGGUGGUGGGCA
rnacentral:rRNA from 1 species